CUUUCAUUCAGCUAGGCAAAAAGGCUUUGAGCAGCCCCACAAUUGCCUUUCUCUCAUUUAUUUGUGAUAGAAUUAAGGUUUAUUUGUUUUCUGUUUUCUUCUUCUUCAGAUUGUUUCUCUGUAUUUAUUCAUUUAGCAAACUGUUUCUUCCUGCAUCUCAGAAAGAUGCACCUAUAGGGCCUACAUCUCUGUCUGCAGUCUGCACACCUUCUUUUGAGUGCAUUUCUCUCAACUCAUUUUGCUGGAGCUCCUAAAUAUCUCUCAAGAGAAAAGGAACUGAGAUGAAAGAAGUGGAAACGACUUAGCCAACAUAGUAAUUUUGUUUGAAAGAUCAAUCAGUUCCCUGUGAGAAAUUUUCUGGGAUGGGAACCAGAGUACCUGGGAUCCAAAAGCAGCAUCUCCGCCACCAGCUCUACAGGUUGUUCCCAACAUGCCUACCUCAUCUUCCCUGAAGGGAUUCAUACCUGAAUAACCACAAGCUGUUGGGUAUAGCCACAACAGUGGAUUGUCAGUCAGUGUGGAUUGAAGGGGAAAGCCACUGGAGGACUGGAAGACAAGAAAUUAUUGAACUAUUAGACUGCACGGCCUUGAUUUUCAGGCUGAAGUUCACCAUUCUCGGGCCUCCAUGGACUGGAUUUUCACCCUCAGAAGACUUCAUGGAAUCCACUUAUGGCCCCUGAGGCCAACACCAGAUCUCAGCCAGGCUGGGGAUACUUGAAGCUCCAUCAUAACCCAAUGGAGCAUACAGGCUCUUGGCCAUCUGGUGUCCCCUGAGCCUACCCUUCUCUGAUCUAUGCCAGACUGGGCAUAUGCUAGGAUAUUUCAGGACCCUGGGGGUGAGGCAAAAUGUCAUAGAGCCAGUAUGAGAAUGAAAAGAACAAGAUCCAAGUGUGAGACUGAUGGGGGUGUGAAUUACUGAUGCAAACGGACUCACCUGAGGUGGACUGAAAACCAGUGAAAACAAGAGUCAGUUUAUAGAACUCCCACCAGCCAAAUAUGGGACUACUUUAGAAUCAAGCAGCUGAGAUCAAAGUAUCUUCAAACUAUUGACACAAACUUGGUUAUCAGGAAAUCUGCAUCUGGAAUUUGUAUUUCAAAUGAAUGUUUUGCCCUCAAUGCCCCCAAAUGGACAAUGUCUCCAGACAUAUAGUUAGAUGACAGGGUGAUCACCUGCCAUAGCUAAGAAACUUCAUCCAGGAGGCAAUUUUGCAACUUGGAACAAGGAACUCAUCGAAGGUAAGUAUUGACCUUCCCAU